GACGAACCCGUGCGAACGUUAUUCGGAAUCAUUGGGCUUAAAGCGCGUGUAGGCGGAUGGGAACGUCGGCUUUGAAAGCCCCCGGCUCAACCGGGGAAUCGGCGCCGAUACGGCCGAGCUGGAGGGGUGUAGGGGGGCCUGGAACUUCCGGUGGAGCGGUGAUAUGCGUUGAGAUCGGAAGGAACGCCCGAGGCGAAAGCGAGGCCCUGGACACUUACUGACGCUGAGACGCGAAAGCCAGGGGAGCAAACGGGAUUAGAUACCCUUGUAGU
rnacentral:rRNA from 1 species